rnacentral:misc_RNA from 1 species
CAGCAUGUGGGCAAGCUACUUUAUCAUCCUCCUUGUCGAAGGUUACAGGUGAUUGACAGAGUUCCUCUACUGCAAGUACUGUGUCUAAGCUGGCUAUUGACUUUCUCUUUUUGUCUGGUUUGGCAAGAUUAGGGCCUCCUACUAUUACAUUGAUUGUGCCAAUGGGUUCUUCAUCAUCAUGUCUCAAUUUAUGCUAAGAUCUUUUCCUCCUGUUUUUGUAAUGGUCGGAUCGAGUAUGGCUAGUGAAAUGCCUUAGUGUACUAUCCUUGACUAGCCUUUCAAUCUCAUCUUUCAACUGUACGUAUUCAUCAGUGUUGUGGUUGAAGUCAUCAUGAAAUCUACAAAAUUUGCUUUGGUCUCAUUUGUCUGCGACUCUACAAUUUAGCUUCCUUGGCUAUUUGCUUUUCUUUUGUAUCCACAUUAGCACUCAGGUCUAUGACUCAUUUAGGGGUGUAUAAUUUCUAUAUCUAUCGUGCCCUCUGUCCCUAUCUCCAGUAGAACUAUUUUGUCAUUUUGGCGUAUUGUCCGGGCUACUCUUCUUAUCCUCAAUUUUGAUUUCCUUGUCUAGCUUUAAUAGCUGCUUUUCAUCUUCUAGGUGGAUUUACUUUUAGG